GUAUUCUGCACGGACUGCUGGGCAGCACUAGCACUCUGGAGAAGGUCUGCCGCUGUCUGCACUUUCCUGGUGAGAAUCCCCAAUGACAGUCCCACUUUUCAGUGGAGGAGAACAAAAUAUCUGUCUACUCUCUUGAUGAAGGACAGAGCUUUGAUCAUAUUUGUUCAGGCUUGACUUGGCCGGAGGUUUUAGGUUCUUAGUCUCAAGUCAGCAGUCUCUCUCUCUCUCUCUCUCUCUCUCUCUGAAACACACACACACAGAGACGCACACACACACACAAGCACACACAUACACAAGCGCAAAUCCUCGCUCUCUCUUUCUCUCAUUUCCCCUCAUAGGUUCUAUGCAGGCAGAUGAGUGUCACAGCUGUAACUGAGGCACAGAGCAGUACACAUAGUGGAGCCGAUUUCCGCGAUGGCGAGAGGGGGCACCGGAGGUGACAACAAUAACAAGACCGUCCUUCAGACAAGUUUUAGCGCUGAAUAUCUUCAGGAAAAUGGGUUCCAUGAGAAGUGACAUCCUCCUCGAAUCAAAAGAUUCUCAGGAUGAUGGAGUGAGUGAUGGAAUAGGUUGCCAACUGUAGUUACUCCACUCAGCACAGAAUGGCUGCAGGGAAAUAUAAUCAGACAUGCCCAAAGAAGUCUGCUUAGGGUGAAACAAAUACCUUUGAGGUUUAAAUCAGGAAGGAGAGACUGUUUCUACAGGUGUCAUACAAAAAUCAAUACUGAGCCAAGGAUUAUUGGAUCCCAUAGAACCACGGAGACUUGGCAGUGAAAUUCUUCCAAAGCAUUCCAUCCAUGCAGGCAGAUGGUGUUCCUAGGUUUGGAAAUAUAAAUCCCAUGGGAAGUCAGGUGAAGACCAUUUUAUGCAUCACUCAUCCUAUUACGAGCCCUGUGCUGUUCUGUCUCUCUAUAAGACUGGCUGAAACCACAACGGUUGUUUACAAUUUAUGCUCUAACUUUGGAUCACCUAGUUAAUACUCUGACUCUGAUUAUUACCAAAGACAAUGUUCUAUAAAAGAUAUUCUCUAUUAGAAGGAUGCUUCUGCAUUAUUAAUAAAAUCACAGGGAAAAUGCAACAUUUUUGAUGUCACAUCUGAUAAGUUGGCAGUUAAAGAACAGAAACACAGCAAUAAGACUGCGUGGCUACAUUUUCCCAGUGCCACCAACUGGGAGUUAAGCUGACUAACAUUUUGAAAGCCCAGCCCAUUUCAUUCACAGCAGGAUGGCAGUGGGUGACUGAUCGUACCCACCAGCUGGCUAAUGUCAUAAUUAACAAAGUGCUACUACAUCUGCAAAGUUUAAUCAAAAAAUUUGCCAAUGAUAUGAUGGCAUUGUCACAGAGAUCACAAGGAACACAGAGUCGACUUUUGCUCAAGGUGGAACGACAGAGCUGUGUAGGCAGAUGAGAAAUUGCGAACUUGUUCGGCCAAAGGAGGCUAAUAAUGAAGGGGCCGGGAAGGAGGCCAGUGCUACCAGGGUUAUCUCACAACCUCAGUUGCUGGAUAAGUCGACGGAGGCAAAAUCGCUUUGGGAUGACAUUCAGAAAGGCUGGAGUGAUUACUUGGAAGAGAAAAGCCUACCUAUUCUUUCCAAGGUGCAGGAAUAUUCCCCUGACCUGCUCAUCCAGUGGUCCAGUAAUGAAUUACUGGAGACCUGCCUUAGACAAAGAGUGCACUCGGAGCCCCAACACACCUAAAGCCACGCUUUGAAGGAUCUGCCAAGCUCACUUUUAAUCAUGAGAUAGAAAUUACCCACACGGAGUCAGCAGAAAAUGAGAAAGUAGAGCUCGUGCUGUGAAUAAUUCCAGCAAGUGCCAAGGGGCUAGUUGAGGAAUGGCUUCAUGAGGGGAAGUAUUAAUAGCCCACCAGUCGGGUAGGCAGCACUCAAUCCUUCUAUGCCUUCUUUCACCACCUGUUGAGGUCUUUCUUCUGAAACAAAGAAGAAAUAGACAAAUCAGACUUGCCCUCUUGGAAAUGUGGUCCAGAUUUCUCUACUCCCAAGCUCCAAAAAAGGUAUACAUUGGAUGGGCUAGAUCAACUCCUCCUGAGAGCCAUAAAUCCACCAAGAGUUGUUUUCCAUGUAAGGAUGUGGUACAAUGGGGAACACCUGAUGUUGGAGGAAAGCAGGAGGACUUCAGAGUGGAGUUGCAUUCUAAUCUCUCUGCCACUUCAACUAUGUGACCUGGGGCAAAUGAUAUAAACUCUAUGAGCCUCUUUCCUUAUCUUUAAAAUGAAGAGAAGUAAUACCUACCUUGUAGGGCUGUUGUGAGGAUUAAAUGAAGUAAUGCAUACAGUGCCUAACAAAGUAUUUAACAUCGUAUUUUUUAAAAGCUCAUGAAAUAUUAGUUUUUCUUCCUUCCUCUCUUUCUAUUUUCUCUCCUGUUCCCUUUUCUCUCCCUCCUCUGCCCUCUCCUUCCUUCAGAUGUUAGUCUAAAACAGCACCUUGGAUCUAAGCAGCACCUUUGAGAAAGAAAAGACUGCUUCAAGAAUGUCUAGUUGCACCUCCUUUCCAUAUGUGGCCUAAAUGCCUAGGUUGGAUCAAUAGUUUAAUUAUUUUAUUGAACUGUUUAAUGUUGACUAUGGACUUACAUUCACUUUUACUGUUUUCUGUAUAUUUAUUUUUGCUUGAAGUGUUUUAAUAUUGACUAUUUAC